GUUAAUUACAUCUUUUCAUUUUCUAUUUGUAGAUAAUUGAAGUUAGUGAAGGUGAAAUGUCACCUACCAACCGAAACAACCAAUCAACUCCUACAAAAGAACCUGGCCAAGAACCAUGUAUUACACCCCGCAGGACACCGAGAAAAUAUAAACUAAAAUCACCUGAUGCAAGUGAAUCCUCGAGUGGCCCAAUGCAAUAGACAGAUGAAAUGGAUGACUGUCUGAUUAAUAUGUUGAUGGAUGUGGUUGCAAAUGGCUGCAAGAGUGCGAAUGGUUUUAAGGAGACGUAUAAAACAGUCAUAGAGAGCGUCAGGAGUGCAAUAGGAAUAUCAGUGCAAGAGAAACAUAUUGGGAAUCGCCUCCGCACUAUGAAAAGGUUGUAUUUCGAGGUUCGAGAUACCCUAAACGCUGUGGAUUUGGUCGUGACGAUGACUUGAAGGUAGUAACCUCUCUGGACGAUGUUUGGGAGGAUUACAUAUGGUCACAUCCAUAUGCACAACAUGUACGCGGGAAAACAGUGCGAAGGUACGACGACCUAACAUACAUAUUUGGUAAUGACCGAGUGACUGGAUUGCGUGCUUCCACAGGAAACAUGCGUAACACUCCGCCUUCGAGAAGGCCCAGGGAUCUUGAUACUUCACCCACACCAUCGGUUGAUCUAAAUGACGAUACUCUUGUGUUAUCCAGUGAUGAGGUAGGGGACAGUACGCAUAACAUCCACUGGUCAUAUGAAAGCCGUGAUGGUAAUCACAUUCCACGCCGAAGUCCGUCUGUGAAUGGGAACAACUCCAUCAACAUAGGAAGCACAACUAGUUCAAGGAAGUAAGCUAGGAUGAAUCGCCCUUGUGAUAUCAUUGACAAAAGAAUGAGUGAAGUUGUUGAUGCCAUCAAAUCACUGGCCCUUACCAUACAGUAAGGGAAGGACAUGGUACGUAUGUCGCAGGUGGUACCAGCUCUGGAGCAGAUUGAGGGUCUUACAGGUCAUGAGAUCGUACGUGUUACAAAGAUACUAUCGAAAGACGAACAACAGUCUGCUUCAUUCCUUUCUCUCCCUGAGCAUAAAGGUUGGAGUUUGUGUUGAUGCUACUUGCUCCAGAUCAGUCGUCCGACUGAGCAUAGUCCCUUGAAGUUGAUCAUCAUGGUUGUUAUUUUGAUUGGUUGGACAGCCAAUCAUUUUUUGGACUUAACUUUUUCUGGUUACACAUGCUAGUUGUGUUCACUAAUUAGAUGACUGGGUUAAUUUGGAUGAUAUUUUUUUGUGGCUUUUUUUUGGAUUGUGAUCUGUAUUUAAUGAUAUCUCCAUCGAUGCCUGUUAACCUGCAUUACCUGUUUAAAUGUGCUGCUAACUUUAUAUUAA